AAUGAAGGCUUCAUGAAACAGUGAUUGAACCCAGCACACUGGAGGAAGGAGGGAGCCAUGACAUAGAAGACUGGAACCAACACCAUGAAGCCAAAGCAUCACCCUGGCGUUGAUUACACCCUCAGACAGUCACAUGUUAAUCAAUUCUCCUGAGCGUUUUCAACAAAGUACCCGCAAAUUUCCAGAACAUGGAUUGAGAAAAACUUUGAGAUUCCAGCCUUAAUGACUGCUCCUCGUGGUCUCUCUCUCCAGUUAGACGAACCUGGGCUAGCAAUAUUCCGAAGAGUCAACAGUCAGCCCUGGUGCUAUAUACUUCCAUGGGAAUUCCAUACUUUCUCAAAACGCGUCAUCAUGCACUCGGCCGAACACGCACACGCAAGCGCGGACGAGCUGCCCACGGCCUUUCUUUCGGGGUUUGAGAAGAGAUGGACAGAGGUGGGAGAGCGCGCUGCAGCCGCAUCAACAUUCCGGUGUCUGCCCUUAGAGGAGGUCUGGGAUUCAGUACUUGCCUGCUUCGAAGACAAUUCUACUGUUCAUGUGGUGAAAGUACAUAUUUUUGGGUAUGAAUAUUUGGGGAAAUACUUUAAAAAUCCUUAAAGCUUAUUGGGCGAAAAUGAAGUGGGCUCGUCCGGGAUUUGAACCCGGGACCUCUCGCACCCGAAGCGAGAAUCAUACCCCUAGACCAACGAGCCACUUAGAAGUGAUCUUUGCGCAUAUUUACUGUAGGUUUUAUUCCCAAAUUAUUUAUUUUUAUUCUUCAAAGGAUUGGUUACCAAAUAAUAUUUAUCACUCCAUCAAUUAUUUACAUAAAUGAAAGGGUUGAAAAGGCUAUUUCUGUGGACGGUCUGCUGGUAGCUUAAAUUACCAUACCAAACUACCGUACAAGCUGGUAGCUUUAAUUACAAAUUAAAACUUGUAACCUGUAGAAACAUUUCUCCUUUAUUCUACUUUGCUAUACUACUCUAAGUAAUUUAACUCAUUUUUUUUUUCCAUUUUUAGCUUUCAAUUAAAAUGUUAGAAAAAUUUGAGUUUUCAAGUUUCCUUAUCUCACUUCCACCCUUUUUGAAAGUUGGAUAUUACUGUUACUGAGGGACUUCUAGAUUAUUUGCUCUAACAAGGAUUAUUUUCGCUACCAGAAAUUUUUCAGAAAGAAUAUUCCUAAUCUCAGCAAAAUUCUACUUAUAAGAGAUUUCUUAACGUCAGCUUUUCGGGGUACCAAGAUGUAUUUGGUUAGUUUACUAACUUCCUCUUACAUACAAAUUUAAGAAAGUUACAAAAACCUUUGGUUAAAUGCAAAGAAAGUUUUUACAACAG
rnacentral:tRNA from 1 species